rnacentral:rRNA from 1 species
CCGUGGGUACCUCCCUUGAGGUGAGGAAUACCACCGAGAAAUCGGUGACAAUACCGCAUAGCUUCGGCAACGAAGAAAGUCACGCAAGUGACGCCACAAGAUGGGCCUGCGCCUGAUUAGCUAGUUGGUGAGGUAACAGCUCACCAAGGCUUCGAUCAGUAGCUGGUCUGAGAGGAUGAUCAGCCACACUGGGAUUGAGAACGGCCCAG